UUUGACAAAAAAUUUCUCAUUUUUAGAAACCAGAAACUAGUUUUAAUCAAUUAAAAUGCAUAAAAAAAAACCUAAUUGAGCUAAAAUCUCAAAUAAAUCUGAAAUCAAUUACUAAAUUGAUGAGAAUAUUUUUCAUAGAUCCAUCAUCAUUCAAAGAGGUUAAGAAAAUAUUUUGGUAUUUUUUGAAUAUUGAAAACUAUUUAAAAUGAAUUAAAAAUGACCAGAAAAGAGAAAAUUCACAAAAAAUAUCAAAUGAUAAAAUAAAAAAUAUAAAAAAUCAUUUUUAGAAACUAGAAUUAAAAAGAGAAAUAAUGAAAAUGGUCCCAUAUUUUUUGGAAUUAAAAUGAGAGAGAUAUGAUUUAUUGAAAUAAAAGAAAUAAAAUGGAUUAAAUUAGAAAAUAGAAAAAACCACACGCGUUGGAUUCAAUUCAUUAAAUGAUCUGGUAGAUCAAAUGGUUG
rnacentral:lncRNA from 1 species